GCGAAGCAACAUGUUGCAGAGCUUUAUCUCAAUAUUUGCUUUAUUUUUUCUAUUUUUACUUGCGAAAGCAAAUCCAAUGGAUAUUCCAAAAGCAGAACCUGAAACUGCAAAUGGUUUCCUUCAGUUCGUCGCAUCUGUUGUGAAGGCCAGAUAUGCACUUCAGCAAAUCCAAUGGACAUUGAUCAUCAUUACUAUAUGUUUCAUUCUGGUUUUGAUCGGUUUAUUUUCCUUAUACUGUUGUUUCCGG